ensembl:ncRNA lncRNA:CR42719 long non-coding RNA:CR42719
AUGGACAAGCAAAGCGACAAAGAGCGAGAGAGAAACCAGUUGUCGUGGCACGUCGACCACAUUCCACGCGAAAGAGUGACGCCGGUGAAGACGUCGACUGCAGCAGAGGUGGUGGCACACACUGCAUGUGGAGGCCGAGUUUUGGAGAUCUACUGGAUGCUUGGCGCUUGGCAUGCGACACCCCGAAAAAAGACGAAAUAAGAAGGGGAAUAAGGGCACAAAAACUUAAAAUACGGUCAAAUACUCAUAUAUAUGUUUUUUAUAUAGAGUUAUAUAAGCAUAUAACUAUAUAUCAUGGAUCCAUUUUCAUGAAUUGCAUAACCAAUCUUCCAUAUAGAAAUAUGUACCUAUCAGUAACCUUAAACUGUCAUAGUUUUAAGAAUGGUUUUACAUAACUUGAUACAUAAAAACAAACUUUGCAUGGAAACCAGAGAAGAACAAAGGUGGCGCCCAAUGCAGGGCCCGAAGAAGAAGAAGCAGAAGCAGAAGCCGCAGCUUAAGGCCGAUCAAUCGCCAUCGAUAUCGGGGGUGCCUUGUAUUUGUUUAUCUUUCGUCAGCGUCUUUCAAUUCAUUCCAUUUCCAUGUUGCCUUGCAGAUAAGAAAACUGUGAUAACGCAACGACCAAGAAAAGAAGAGCAGAGUGAUAAAAAGACGGCGGAGCGGCAUUUCAAAUGCCCACGAUUUAUAAUCUGUUUGCCUUAAUUUCUUACUCAAAUGGCUAGCGAAUUACAAUAAAUUCCUUAACCAGGCAUGUAAUCGCGUUAUCAUCAUUAUUUACAAUUACAACAGCAGCACGCACACACAGGCACUCAGUCGCACACCUUCGUAUCUUGGAAAUGGAUGUGGACGAGGAACCAGCAGAAGACUUUGAAUGCACCAAGAGAAAUUAUAUGGUUGAAAGUGUAUUUACUAGUAUGGCAAUAAAUUAAAAUUUUUUCAAUGAU